GUGCAGAAGAAUCAUAUUUUCUCAGGUAAAACAGGCAAAAAAGCUCCAUUUUUAAUUCUUCAGAUAAGGUGAAUAAGUGUGCUGUUUAAUUAUAUUAAAAGUGAAAGCUAUUGGACUCCCUACAAUUUUUUAUUUUUUGUUUUUCUCUAAUUUUCCAGAGCUUCCUUCUCUGAACACCUGGGUGUGGCUUCUCUCUGUUCUCAUAAAAUCAGUCUCAUGACCAAUUGCAGGAACACCCAGGGAACAGAACAAGGAGUUCUCUUGCAUCUGAAGACAGCCCCUAGGCUCUACAAGUUUGAUAACUUCCCAGUCAAUGAGUGAAUGUUCCUCUCUCAAUUUUUAUCAUUCACUGACAAAUUCUCUAGACACAUCCUUUGUUAAUCUGGAAGCCUUAAGAGAAAGCACCCCUCUCCCUGCUCAGGACCAGUUGUGCGAAAUUAAAGAAAGGAUCCAAUUAGAGGCUGGGGGCCUUCUUUAUCACCCUGAUACCUUCAACCAGACCACAGACCCCCAAAAUCAUCUGACAUUAACAUGGCACCAGAGGCUUGCCUCUAGCUGCAGGUAACACUGGACCUGUUUUGACAGUGCUGCAGUUUGUCUUGGUUUGUACCCUACAGCUAUGCCUUGGUGGAUUUACACGUGGACUGUUCCUCUGUCCCACCAGACAUUACAGUAGAAACUGCUCUUUAAAUACUCUGAACAAUAACUCCUUCCCUACAGGCUACAAAGUCCACGUUCUCCUUGAACUGAAGGGAGAAAAAAAAAAUAGUCCUCACAACUCAGAGUUCAAGAGUGUGAAUCAUGAAUGAAACCAUACCUAAAUCUUAGAAAGCAGUAAGAUUUAAGAUGCACCUUUGCUUUUCAUAUAUGUUUCUUAAAAGGUUUCCUCCUCAAACCGUUGCACAUAUGAGGUGUGGAAUUCUUCCUGUGCACAUACAAGGUCCCUAGUUUGUAUGUCAUGCAGCCCAUAAGGUCUGAAGGUGACUGACAACAUGGGUGUUGUUUUGUGAUGUCUCUGAAUACAAGAUGCUUGUUGUCUCAUUAAUACCGUGUUACGUUCAUGUCCUAUAUAAUUCUGUACAAGUCUGUACUACUGUGGGGUUGAAGGCUUACCCUAGUUUGCCAGUUUCCCUGGAAUAAUGUUAUUGUCAAUGUGCUUUAUUACCUCCAAAACUUUGCCAUUAUUUCCUAGCUGGGGGAUCCUUUCUGCUUCUCUUGCUACUCAUAUGAGAGUAAAAUAUGAAUAUUGAAGUACACAAAGGGCAUUUUAGCCUUAAAAGUUAGAGAAAAAAAAAAGAGUUGGAAAACAUUUGAAUUUUAUUAUAAGAGAUGUGAGUUUUUGCCAAUUUCUUGUUCAUAUUCAUAAGGUAUAAAGUCUGAGCAAUACAUGAAAAAUGUAAGUGUUCAUGUAACAAGAAACUGCAAGCAGACAGUCAUAGUUGAGAAUAUGAAUAAGAAUCCCAGUAGAGUGUUUCCAUUUCUGAGUAUUAACUCAGACGGUAAGUUACUUCCAGUGGAAGAUGCUGCAAACUGAAGUUUUCCAUUUUUUCUGAAGAAACAGACACAACAUUGUCAGUGACAAAAUAAACCUCCCACAGAAUUUUCUUUCA
rnacentral:lncRNA from 1 species